rnacentral:rRNA from 1 species
AGAGUUUGAUCAUGGCUCAGAACGAACACUGGCGGCGUGGAUUAGGCAUGCAAGUCGAACGAGAACGUUUCCUUCAGGAAACUAGUACAGUGGCGAACGGGUGAGUAACGGGUGGAAAACCUGCCCUUCAAUGGGGGAUAACAGUUCUAACGAGCUGCUAAUACCGCAUACGACCUUUUGAUCGCAUGGUCAAAAGGAGAAAGGUGGCCUCUCUUUGAAGCUGCCGUUGAAGGAUGGUUCCGCCUCCCAUUAGCUUGUUGGUGGGGUAAUGGCCUACCAAGGCGACGAUGGGUAGCCGGCCUGAGAGGGUGUCCGGCCACACUGGGACUGAGAUACGGCCCAGACUCCUACGGGAGGCAGCAGUCGAGAAGCUUCCGCAAUGGGCGAAAGCCUGACGGAGCGACGCCGCGUGAACGAAGACGGUCCUAUGGAUUGUAAAGUUCUGUCAGAUUGGGAAGAAAGCUCUGCGGUUAAUACCCGUAGAGUUUGACG